AACAUCUGUUUAGACCAAAAAACGCAGUCUGAGUUGACAUUUUGCAUUGCUUAAUGUCACAACUCAGACUGCGUUUUUUGGUCUAAACUUAUGU
rnacentral:pre_miRNA from 1 species